AUGAACGCUGGCGGCGUGCCUAAGACAUGCAAGUCGAGUGGGUUUAGACCCACGGCAAACGGGUGAGUAAUACCUAGGAACGUGCCGUAAGUUGAGCAUAACCUGCCGAAAGGCAGGAUAAUACUCAAUGUGACCGCAAGGUUAAAGUCGCAAGACGCUUACGAAGCGGCCUGGGUCCCAUCAGCUAGUUGGUAGGGUAAAGGCCUACCAAGGCUAUGACGGGUAGGGGUCCCGAGAGGGAUAACCCCCACACUGGAACUGAGACACGGUCCAGACUCCUACGGGAGGCAGCAGUUUGGAAUUUUGGACAAUGGGCGAAAGCCUGAUCCAGCGACGCCGCGUGGACGAUGAAGGCCUUCGGGUUGUAAAGUCCUUUUAUCAGGGAAGAAUUUUUGACGGUACCUGAUGAAUAAGAGGUUGCUAACUCUGUGCCAGCAGCAGCGGUAAUACAGAGACCUCAAGCGUUAUCCGGAAUCAUUGGGCGUAAAGCGUACCGAUAGGUGGUUUUGCAAGUCAGGAGUGAAAUCUCAAGGCUCAACUUUGAGACUGUCUCUUGAAACUGCACAACUAGAGGGGCAAAGAGGAAGCUGGAACGAACGGUGUAGUAGUGAAAUGCGUUGAUAUCGUUCGGAACACCGAUAGCGAAGGCAGGCUUCUGGGUGCCACCUGACACUGCUAGGACGAAAGCGUGGGGAGCGAAUGGGAUUAGAUACCCCAGUAGUCCACGCUGUAAACGAUGCACAUUCGGCGCUAGAGAGUAUCGACCCUCUUUAGUGCCACAGCUAACGCGUUAAAUGUGCCGCCUGGGGAGUACGGCCGCAAGGCUAAAACCCAAAGGAAUUGACGGGGACCUGCACAAGCGGUGGAGCAUGUGGUUUAAUUCGACGAUAAGCGAGGAACCUUACCAAGGCUUGACAUGUAGCUGCAUCUUCUGGAAACAGGAGCGCCUUCGAGGGUGCUACACGGGUGCUGCACGGUUGUCGUCAGCUCGUGCCGUGAGGUGUUCACUUAAGUGUGAAAACGAGCGCAACCCCUCAUUCUCUUGCUAGGUUAAAGCUGAUCACUCUGAGAAACUGCCGGUGAUAAGCCGGAGGAAGGUGGGGAUGACGUCAAGUCCGCAGUGGCUCUUACGUCCUUGGGCGACACACGUGUUACAAUGGCGAUGGAACAAUGGGCAGCGAAGGCGCAGAUCGGAGCCAAUCCCUAGAAAACCUCUCUCAGUUCGGAUUGUACGGCUGCAACUCGCAGUGCAUGAAGCUGGAAUCGCUAGUAAUCGUAGAUCAGCAUCGCCUACGGUGAAUACGUUCUCCGGUCUUGUACACACCGCCCGUCACAGCCAUGGAAGUGGUUAAUCCCCUAAAUCGCAAGAACCUUAAAGCGUCCACGCAGGUCAUGACUGGGGUG
rnacentral:rRNA from 1 species